rnacentral:rRNA from 1 species
CUCCAGUUGAUCGCAUGGUCUUCUGGGAAAGCUUUCGCGGUAUGGGAUGGGGUCGCGUCCUAUCAGCUUGACGGCGGGGUAACGGCCCACCGUGGCUUCGACGGGUAGCCGGCCUGAGAGGGCGACCGGCCACAUUGGGACUGAGAUACGGCCCAAACUCCUACGGGAGGCAGCAGUGGGGAAUAUUGCACAAUGGGCGCAAGCCUGAUGCAGCGACGCCGCGUGAGGGAUGGAGGCCUUCGGGUUGUAAACCUCUUUUAUCGGGGAGCAAGCGAGAGUGAGUUUACCCGUUGAAUAAGCACCGGCUAACUACGUGCCAGCAGCCGCGGUAAUACGUAGGGUGCAAGCGUUAUCCGGAAUUAUUGGGCGUAAAGGGCUCGUAGGCGGUUCGUCGCGUCCGGUGUGAAAGUCCAUCGCUUAACGGUGGAUCCGCGCCGGGUACGGGCGGG